rnacentral:rRNA from 1 species
UACGAAGGUCCCAAGCGUUAUCCGGAUUUAUUGGGUUUAAAGGGUGCGUAGGCGGGUUAUUAAGUCAGUGGUGAAAGCUCCAUGCCUAACAUGGAAAUUGCCAUUGAUACUGAUGAUCUUGAGUACAUUUGAAGUGGGCGGAAUGUGUCAUGUAGUGGUGAAAUACUUAGAUAUGACACAGAACACCGAUUGCGUAGGCAGCUCGCUAAACUGUAACUGACGCUGAGGCACGAAAGCGUGGGGAGCAAACAGG